UGUCCCUUGGUGUCACCAGGCUUGGGUGUAGCCCUCUCGGUUCCUUCCAAAGCUGAGCUGUAUUUUGGUGUGAAGACCUCUCUCUUUCAGCUUCACCCGUUUUCCUUUAUCAGUUUCUCAUCACUUCACUGUCAAUCAAUCCAGAAACUCUUAACCUUGGAAGCACAUUGGAAUCACGUUCUCAUUCUGGUGCCCAGGCUGCAGUCAAGUGGCGUGAUCCUGGCUCACUGCAACCUCUGCCUCCCAAGCUCAAACGAUCCUCCUGCUUUAGCCUCCUGAGUGGCUGAGACUACAGAUAUUUGAACCCUUACACACCAGGAGCCAUACUCUUUGGAGCACUUAACUCACCUGUACAGUGUCUAUCUUCUCUGAAGGCUUAGAAGCCCCAGGAGGGCAUAGAUAACACCUGUCUGGUUCACUGCGGUACCUCGAGUUCAGAAAGUGCCUGGCACAUAACAGGUAUUUCAAAAAUAUCUGUAGUGGAACUGAAGGGGUUUCCAUCUGUCUCACCAACUAGAGAAAAAGCCACAGCUCCUUAAGGGUAGAAAGUCCUAGAUGUCAGCACAGGACCUGGCUCAGGUCAGAUGCUCAGCAAGUGUUUACUGAGUUAGCUGAAUGGCCCCAUGUUCUGUGGAGGUCCAGCAUGGGUCACCCCGACCAGCGCACAGGUUGUGGUGUGAACUCUGGGUUCUUCGUGGGUUCUCAUUUGCCUCUGGCUUUUGCUGGGAACUGCGGGCUUUUGCUGUCGUAUGUGACUCCCUUUCCUUACUUGUGACUUAAGAGAUUAAACUAUUAAUGGUGUGGAAGCUAAAAACAGACCCGUCUCCAGGAGGGUGCCACAGAAUUUUUUUUUUUUUUUUUUUUUGAGACCAGGUCUCACUGUCACCCAGGCUGGA
rnacentral:lncRNA from 10 species